GGUGGCUCAAUGGUAGAGUGUUUGCUUCGCAUGUAUAAGGCCCUGGGUUCGAUUCCUCAGCACCA
rnacentral:tRNA from 1 species